rnacentral:miRNA from 2 species
UUGAGAAUGAUGAAUCAUUAGG